ensembl:lncRNA
GGGACAGGGUGAGAAGCUCAGUCAUCCGUGAGGAACUCGGAUUAGAGCCGCUGCUCCUUUACUUAGAAAGGAGUCAGCUGAGGUGGUUCGGGCAUCUGGUAAGGAUGCCCACUGGGCGCCUUCCUUGGGAGGUGUUUCAGGCACGUCCAGUGGGGAGGAGACCUCGGGGAAGACCCAGGACUAGGUGGAGAGAUUAUAUCUCAACACUGGCCUGGGAACGCCUCGAGAUCCCCCCGUCAGAG